rnacentral:misc_RNA from 1 species
CUAUGAUUGGUUUUAUAUACCUAGUUUGUUCUGAUUUAGCAUUCCUAAUUAGUUACAAUUAGGAUUAGUUGAUAAAUUAUGAAUACCUUAUACCUGUGUCUAGGUAUUUUAUUAAGAGAAUUUACUAUGAUCAUAUUUUUAUUAACAAUUAAUAAGAUAUGAGAAAUUGUUUUCCCUUUUUAUUUGAGAAUUUGUUUCUCUAGAGAAUGUAUUUCUCUACCCUUUGAGAAUGCAUUUCUCACCCCCCUAAUUCCCCAUAAAUCUACUAGUUCUACAUUAAUUUGGUAUCAGAGCCUGCUCUACAUCAAAAUCAGUUUCAGGAUUUUUCUAGUGAAAACUCUCAAGUACCCUAGCAUUCCUAAAUAGAAAAUUUA